CACGAUUCCAUUAAAACUCUGGACAGUGAGUUAGAAGCCUAGUAACUCAGCAUCUUGCACAGAGCAGAACAAACAAAUGCAGUGAAGUUCAGAAAUAUUGCUUGCUUUUGAUUUCAAGGGCUGUAUUAUCUUCUGUCUGUGUGUGUUUGAUUAGGUACUGUAAGCAAGAGUGUGGGAUGCAUUAAGAUAAUGAAAAGAUUGUCCACAGAAAGAAUGAAAAUGUAGACAUAUUUAUAGUUGAAUAAAUUAUUUGGAUAGUGUUUCAAGGCUGAAACACUGAUUAUCUGAUUUUCCCACUAACUUUUGUAAAACAAAAUUAAAAUACCAAUACUCUACACCAUAAAAAUCUAUUACCCUUCUCACCCCUUCCCCCAGGCCUUCUGAAUUGACUCUGGAAUAAAAUCAAGCUUUCUUCUAACCUUGGUAUGAAACACCAAGAUAAUGCCAUCUGGCAUAAUAUACACUGUGUCUAAAGUAUGAUUAACUGUGUCAUAGAUCAGGCAAUUUCUACUGCACUAUCAUCCAGCAUGAUGAGAAGAGACCAAAAAGGAUGCAGCAGUGGCACAGUAAGUGCUCAUCUCUGGAACUCAAAGUGUGACUACCCACCUCACCUAGCAUUCAUGUUGACUGCGUUCCUCGGCUUCCAUUCCUAUUAAUAAGCACCUGAUCAUAAAAGCGAGGAAUUUGGAGUGGAGUCUAUCAUGCCUGGGCCGGACAGACUUUGGACUUCUCGCCCCUUCUAUGACACUGUAUCAUCUCUUGUCACAUACAUCCAGGGAAACCAGGACUAUUUAGAAAAUCAGGUGAAAGCUAUGCACAAACAUGUUAUACUUAAAGAUCAUUGGAGGAAGCGCAAUCUUUCUCAUGUUGGUGUGCAUGUUAUACAGAGAAAAUGAAAAAUUGCAGCUUCAAGACAAUACAACAGAACAAAUAAGUAAUCAGACUGACAGUAAUCUCAGGAAACAACCUGAACUCCUAAUUGCAUCUGAACUGCUAUCGUUAAUUAGUUAUUAGAUCCACAUGGACCACUCACUCAUUCAAAGUCAGCAAGAUGUGAAGAGAGCAAACAGACAAGAGUUUUAGAGCACUUCAGAAAGAAGAGUCAGGAUGACAACUCUGUGUUUAUGGCAAGUUAAGCUAUCAUUCUGUUAGUAAAAAAUACUGACCUUUGCAGGUAGGUGGUGUUGUCCAUGUUCCAUUUUCCAAGCAAAUACUCCGCAGGGGCCCCUCCAGCAUGUACCCACUGUAGCAUGAAUAGGUGAUCAUGUCUCCAUACUGAUAGAAGCUACCGCGAAUCAGAGCAUUCUCUACAUGAGCUGGAGGACCGCAAGAUAUCUCUAAACAAAAGAAACCGUCCAGUUGUUGGUGAGCUGCAGAGCCUACAUGACACCGGUUUUAACCCUAGAGACAAUGCUGUUGCAGGGAGAUGUCACAGACACACCCCUGGUGGUAAAUCAGCAAUGGAGUCCAAGGAUCUGGACAAAUUUAAGAAGUGGACUCACGAAAAUCCCACGACGUUUAACAAGUCCGAGUGCAAAGUGCUGCACUCAGUUCAGGGCAAUACCAAACGUGAGUACAGACUGGGAGAAGAAGUCACUGAGAGCAACCCUGAGAAGGGCUUGGGGGUUCUUUAUGGUGAGAGGCUGGACAUGAACCGGCAGCUGCAUUUUUGGGUGCAGCCCCAAAAGCCACUGGUAUCCUGGGCUGCAUCAAAAGAAGUGUGACCAGCAGGGUGAGAAAGGGGAUUAUCUCACUCUAUUCUGCCCUUGUGAGACCCCAUUCGGAGUGCUGCAUCCAUCUCUGGGGUCCUCAGUACAAGAAAGAGUGGGUCCAGAGAAGGGACACAAAAAUGAUCAGAGGGAUGGAGCAUCUCUCCUACCCAGAAAGGUAAAGAGAGCUGGGAUUAUUCAGCAUGGAUCCAGGAGAAGGCUUCAGGGAGACCUCAUUGCAGCUUUCUUGUUUCUUAAGGGGUCUUAUUAAGAUGAGGUAGUAUUUAUAUGGGAAGAUAGAGACAGAACAAGAGGCGACGGUUUUAAACCGAAAGCGGCAUGUUUAGUUGAGGUAUCAGAAAGAAAUUUUUUACCCAGACAGUGAGGAGGUGCUGGAGCAGGUUGCCCAAGGAAGAUGUGGAUGCCUCACACGUGUAAGUGUUCAAGGCCAGGUUGGAUGGGACCAGAGCAACCUGAUUUAGUGACAUCCCUACCCAUGCCAGAGGGGCUGGAACUAGAUGAUCUUAAAUGUCCUUUCCAACCCAAGCCAUUCUGUGAUCCAUGAGUCUAAGCAGUAUUGCUUGCAAGAAGUCAAAAGGCUUUCCAACAUGCUUGCAAAAGGACACUGCUUUCUGUCAAUAUUAAUAAAUACUAUAAAAGGCAGCACCUCAUUCUGCAACUCUUGUAUCAUCACCCAUGAUCUCAGGGGAAUCAUUCUUAGGGUAUUUAGGGUAUUCAACAACUAAUCCAGCUCCAGGCUUGCAAACGGUAAAUUAAGAAUACAUUUACAGAAGGGUCUAGUAUAUAGUAGGAUGAAUACUGUUGAAGCACCAACCCACAUAGAUGUAUUCUGAGUCCUUUUAAAGGAACAACUCUGUUAGAAAGAAAGAAGACACAGCUCUUCUCUACAGCUUCUUAGAACCCUCUGGAAGAUACCAAUCCCUGUGGAAUGGUGUGUCUUGUACUUACUUUCACACUUAGCUGUGGCUGGAGUCCAGGUCUCAUCAGC